UAUACCGCUUCUACUUUGGGUCUGUUGACUUUUUUGGAUCUCUGGAUUGACAGUUUUUAUCAAAUUUAGAAAGUACUUGACCAUCUUUCAAAUAUUUUUGCUCACCUAUCUUUUGCUAGGAUUUCAUUUGCAUAUACGUUAGACCACUUGAUAUUGCCCCUUGGCUCAAUUCACUUAUAUUUGGUCUUUUUUCUGUAUACUUCAUUUUGCAUAGUUUCUAUUGUUCUUACCCAAGUUCACUGAUUGUUUCCUCUGCAAUGUUUAAUGGGCUCUUAAUCCCAUCCGGUUAUUUUUCAUUUAAUAAAUUAUAUUUUUAUCUCUAAAAAUUUUAUUAACAUAUUUUAUGUCUUCCAUUUCUCUCCUCCUUAUGUUCACAUUUUCCUUUAAUUCACUUGUGUAUUUUUUAAAUUUAUAGUAGCUGUUUUAAUGUUUUUGCUCGCCAAUUACAUCACUUCUGUCGUUUCUUGUCCCAUUUCUAUUGACUAAUUUUUAUCCUAGUUAUGGAUCAUAUUUUCUGCUUCUUUGCAGGCUGAGCCAUUUUUUGUUAGAUGCUGGACAUUGUGAACUUUACAUUGUGAAGUACUGAAUUUUUUAUUCCUAUGGAGUAUGCAACUUUAUUCUGGAAGGUAAUUAAGUGACUUUUGGAUCAACUUCAUCUUUUCAAGGUUUGAUUUUACGUGUUUUAAGGUAAGUAGAGGUAGCCUUUACUGUAGAACUAGUUUAGCUCUACUAUUAAGCUGAAACCCUCUGGGAUCUCUACUCAAUGGCCCAUUUAUUCAAUGAGGUCUCUCUACUUUCUCUGAUGGGCACUAAAAUGAUCCCCAGGCUUUUGGGAGUUCUAAAAAUUUUCUACAUUACAGCACCUCUGUAAAUGUUCAUUCCACAGCAUUUGUUCUUUGCCCAGCCUCAUGGAGUUUCACCCUUCAGGCACACAGAUUUGAAUUUAGUCUCAAAGACUCAAGGGAGGAAACCCUAUGCAAAUUUCUGGAGUUCUUUUUCUAGCUCCUUUCUCUCCUUUUUACUGUCCCACAAAUUUUAGCUGCUUCGGAACCCCUGAACUUCAAUUACUAUCAUCCCAUCUUAAUGAGACCUUCCUACACUGUGGUUAGAAAUUGUCCCCAGACAGAAAGCCAGUGCAGUUAAAAUGCUCAUCUAGAUUAUUUCCCUUCACUCAAAGAUCACAGUCCUGUGCUGCCUGUUGUCCAUUUGUUUAAUUCCACCCUCUCCACCCUGUUUCUUGUUGUCUACAGUAGGAGGGAGAGGAGUCCCAGAGUAGUUACUUCUUUAAGCAUGAAAGCAAAAGUCUAGCUUUGACUUAAUAAUCAAACUGAUUCUUUGUAGCAGUCCCUGAAAUUCUUGAACUUACAGAGUCAGUGAUUGAAAAUGGUUGAUGAAACUUCCUUUGCUUUUGAACAUGAAAGAAAGCGCAUGAGGAUGGAGGCAGUAAGAUGCUAUAUUAAUGCUGUCAAGCCCAUAGUUCAUGGCAAUAGUCUUUCUAAUGAAAAUCAUGCCGGGGGUAUUAUUAUAAGGCCAUAAUAUCAAUUUAUUUAUUUAUUUGUUAAUUGACAAAUUAACAUAUUUAAUUUCCCUUUUUCCACAGAGCAUCAUAAGGGGUCCUAUUGGGGAAGAGAAGAAUCGUUGAGUUUCAGCCAAGCUUUAUCUCCUUAUUGAAUCAUAAAAAAUAAUACAGCUGGCCUGGCGCAGUGGCUUAUGCCUAUAAUCCCAGCACUUUGGGAGGCCGAAGCGGGUGGAUCACUUGAGGUCAGGAGUUUGAGACCAGCCUGGCCCACAUGGUAAAACGCUGUUUCUACUAAAAAUACAAAAAUUACCCAGGUGUGAUGGCGGGGGCCUGUAAUCCCAGCUACUUGAGGGGCUGAAGCAGGAGAAUUGCUUGAACCCAGGAGGUGGAGGUUGCAGUGAGCUGAGAUCGUGCCACUGCACUCCAGCCAGAGCAACAGAACGAGACUCCGUCUCAAAAAAUAAUAAUAAUAUAGCUCAUAAAAUCUAUGCCUGGAGAGAUUUUCGUGUUUGCUGCUGUAAAAGUGACAACAAAUAAUAUACCCAUUAUUAAUAAAUGGUUUUCAGUUAUUUAUUGAUUUAACAAACUAUUUUUUAAUGCCUACAAUGUGCCAGGCACUAUAGUAGGCACUGGACAUACAAAUAUAGA
rnacentral:lncRNA from 1 species